GAGAAGUAUAGGUUGAGUUUGGACUUCUAAUUUAGAUUCGGGUGGUUCGUACCAUUCACUUCUCU
rnacentral:tRNA from 1 species